GCUGGGCAUGGUGGUGCAUGUCUGUAAUCCCAGCUACUCAGGAGGUUGAGGCAGAAGGAUCACAAGUUUGAGAUCAACCUCAGCAACUCAGCAAGACCCUGUCUCAA
rnacentral:sRNA from 1 species